GGAGAGGUGCCGGAGUGGUCGAACGGGGCGGUCUCGAAAACCGUUGUGGGCGCGAGCCCACCCAGGGUUCGAAUCCCUGUCUCUCCGCCA
rnacentral:tRNA from 2 species